rnacentral:rRNA from 1 species
GACGAACGCUGGCGGCGUGCUUAACACAUGCAAGUCGAACGAAGAGCGAUGGAAGCUUGCUUCUAUCACUCUUAGUGGCGAACGGGUGAGUAACGCGUAAUCAACCUGCCCUUCAGAGGGGGACAACAGUUGGAAACGACUGCUAAUACCGCAUACGAUCUAAUCUCGGCAUCGAGGAUAGAUGAAAGGUGGCCCCUACAUGUAAGCUAUCACUGAAGGAGGGGAUUGCGUCUGAUUAGCUAGUUGGAGGGGUAACGGCCCACCAAGGCGAUGAUCAGUAGCCGGUCUGAGAGGAUGAACGGCCACAUUGGGACUGAGACACGGCCCAGACUCCUACGGGAGGCAGCAGUGGGGAAUCUUCCGCAAUGGACGAAAGUCUGACGGAGCAACGCCGCGUGAGUGAUGACGGCCUUCGGGUUGUAAAGCUCUGUUAAUCGGGACGAAAGGCCUUCUUGCGAAUAGUGAGAAGGAUUGACGGUACCGGAAUAGAAAGCCACGGCUAACUACGUG